CCACGUUCCUCGCAUUCUCCCCUCCCUGUUCUUAUCAGCUGAUUGAAACAGAAUGCCAGCGCUGGCUGUGUUAUCCUCUGUCAGCAUUUUGGCGAUUGUUUCCUGUACAACAAAGGGAGAAUGAUAAAAGGCAAAGCUGGCUGCCAGGAGAUGAUCAACUCGGUUCCGGUGCCCCUCUGUUCCAGUGUCUCCCCCCAUGAUACUCCUCAGCACAGGCCCACAGCAAUGGACUGAAUUAUCAAAACCCAUGAACCAAAAGAAAUCUUCCUCACUUAAAUCAUUUCUAUCUGGUAUUUGUCACAGUGAUAAACAUUAGUCAACACAA